rnacentral:misc_RNA from 1 species
UAGAUCACAUUCAAGAAAGUGUUAAGAAAAAGUUAUAGCACAAUCAAAAUCAAACACAAAAUUCAGAUUAUCAAGUCAUGAAAAAUUAACUUUAACCUAAAAUUCAGACUUAACCCAAAAAAUCACAGCAAGAAAGCAGACUAGACAAAUAAAAGAAGAACGGUUCAUUUAGAGCCCAGAUUUACAAGUUCCCCUAAUAAUUUAAACACGCGGCUCAAGUUUGUUCAGUCCAUAAACAAAUGCAAGUUGAAAAAUGAUAAUAGAAUUAAGAUAUUGAGGUUUCAAUUCCUCAUUACUCACUUUCUCGAGAAGCGAACAGAAACUCAUCGAUCAGAGAAAUUGAGAGUGAUAUCGUGAAUAGGAAAGAGAGAUCG